rnacentral:misc_RNA from 1 species
GAUGAAGAACGUAGCGAAAUGCGAUACGUAGUGUGAAUUGCAGAAUUCAGUGAAUCAUCGAAUCUUUGAACGCACAUUGCACCUCUCGGUAUUCCGGGAGGUAUGCCUGUUCGAGCGUCAUUUGUACCCUCAAGCUCUGCUUGGUGUUGGGUGUUUGUUCCGCCUCUGUGUGUGAACUCGCCUCAAAACAAUUGGCAGCCGGCGUACUUGUUUCGGAGCGCAGCACAUUUUGCGAUCCAGAUCAACGUACAGCGGCAUCCAAGAAGCCUUAUUUAACGCUCUUGACCUCGGAUCAGGUAGGGAUACCCGCUGAACUUAAGCUUAUCAAUAAGCGGGGA